rnacentral:rRNA from 1 species
GCGAACGCUGGCGGCAGGCCUAACACAUGCAGGUCGAACGAACCUUUCGGGGUUAGUGGCGGACGGGUGAGUAACACGUGGGAACGUGCCUUUAGGUUCGGAAUAACUCAGGGAAACUUGUGCUAAUACCGAAUGUGCCCUUCGGGGGAAAGAUUUAUCGCCUUUAGAGCGGCCCGCGUCUGAUUAGCUAGUUGGUUGAGGUAAUGGCUCACCAAGGCGACGAUCAGUAGCUGGUCUGAGAGGAUGAUCAGCCACAUUGGGACUGAGACACGGCCCAAACUCCUACGGGAGGCAGCAGUGGGGAAUCUUGCGCAAUGGGCGAAAGCCUGACGCAGCCAUGCCGCGUGAAUGAUGAAGGUCUUAGGAUUGUAAAAUUCUUUCACCGGGGACGAUAAUGACGGUACCCGGAGAAGAAGCCCCGGCUAACUUCGUG